rnacentral:rRNA from 1 species
UACGUAGGGUGCGAGCGUUGUCCGGAAUUACUGGGCGUAAAGAGCUCGUAGGCGGCUUGUCGCGUCGUCCGUGAAAACUUGGGGCUCAACCCCAAGCUUGCGGUCGAUACGGGCAGGCUAGAGUUCGGUAGGGGAGACUGGAAUUCCUGGUGUAGCGGUGAAAUGCGCAGAUAUCUGGAGGAACACCGGUGGCGAAGGCGGCAUCCUGGACCGGUAUUGACGCUGAGGCGCGAAAGCCAGGGGAGCAAAGCGGG